rnacentral:rRNA from 1 species
CGCACCAGGCGCGAAAACUUUACAAUGCAGGAAACUGUGAUAAGGGAACCCCGAGUGCCUGUAUGGACAGGCUGUUCAGGUGCGCAAAAAACACUUGGAGAAAGGGCCGGGCAAGACCGGUGCCAGCCGCCGCGGUAAUACCGGCGGCUCGAGUGGUGGCCACUAUUACUGGGCUUAAAGCGUCCGUAGCUGGGUAGUUAAGUCUCUGGGGAAAUCUUCCGGCUCAACCGUAAGGCGUCUCAGAGAUACUGGCUACCUUGGGAUCGGAAGAGGUGAGAGGUACUCUGGGGGUAGGAGUGAAAUCCUGUUAUCCUCAGGGGACCACCUGUGGCGAAGGCGUCUCACCAGAACGACUCCGACAGUGAGGGACGAAAGCUGGGGGAGCAAACCGGAUUAGAUACCCGG